rnacentral:rRNA from 1 species
AUGGGCCGCCGCACACCGUUCCCACCACUCCGACGGACAGCCACACGGCGGCAACCACCUGGAUCUGGCACGGACUCUGGCCCAGAUCGGCUUGCACCUCCACCUCUGAUUUGUGGGCCAUUUUUCCGACUGAAGCCCAAGCCCAUAUCGAUGUUGGUUUCCUCCUCCAGUCCAGUCCAGUCCAGUCCACCCCGUAGGCGAGAGAGGGGAGGCGCAGGUGGGUGCGUGAUGGCCGCCGUCGCCGGAGCCGGAGGAGGCGACGAGAUGCUGCUUCGGCGCUCGCGCCGGCGGCUGCCCCUCGCCGACCUCACGAACCUCUCCUCCGCCACCUCCGCCAUCACCCGCCUGAAGCGCAAUCCCCAGCACCGCACGAGCCCCGCCAGCAGCACCAGCAGCAUUGGCUCCUCCACCGUUCCCCGCAUCCCCACGCCUCCUCCGCCCGCGGCCCUCUCCGUUUCUACGACUAAGGGCAAGGAUAAAUCCACAAGGGAGCUUCAAAGUUCCAAUACUCAUCUAAACAAGAUUCAAAAGAUCAGUAAACCUAAGGUGAAGACUGGAGGCGUGCUACCUGGGACGUCAUCUCCUCCCAGCAAAAACACAAGGAAGAUAACAAGGAAAGAGCAGCCGCGCACAGAGUCUUUGAUCUCCACCUUGUAUGCCUCUAGUAAAACAAAGGCGAAGACUAGUGGAGACGUGCUGCCUGGGGCAUCAACACCUCCCACCAAAAAGAUAAUGAAGGUAACAAGGGAAGAGCAGCCGCGCACAGAGCCUUUGAUCUCCCCCUUGUAUGCCUCCAGUAAAACAGGGCUGAAGACUGGAGACGGGCUGCCUGGGGCAUCUUUGCCUCCCAGAAAAAAGACAAGGAAGGUAACAAGCAGCAGCAGGAAAGAGCAGAUGCAGAUGGAGGAGAUGAGUUGUGAUGAGUCCCUGGUACUGAGCGAGGAUUUCAUCAAGGAGCGGAGGGCCUACUUUGCGGAGAUCGAUGCAUUUGAGCUGGUAGAGGAGUUUGUUUCAUCAGGAAGCGACGCAGAGUAG